ensembl:misc_RNA Metazoa_SRP Metazoan signal recognition particle RNA
GCUGGGUGUGGUGGCAGGCACCUGUAAUCCCAGCUACUUCGGAGGCUGAGGCAGGAGAAUUGCUUGAGCCUGGGAGGUGGAGGUUGCAGUGAGCCAAGAUUGUGCCACUGCACUCCAGCCUGGGCAACAGAGUGAGACUCUGUCUUUU